rnacentral:rRNA from 1 species
GGCCUACCAUGGUGGUAACGGGUAACGGGGUGUUAAGGCACGACACCGGAGAGGGAGCCUGAGAAACGGCUACCACAUCCAAGGAUGGCAGCAGGCGCGCAAAUUACCCAAUCCCGACACGGGGAGGUAGUGACAAUAAAUAACAAUGCGGGGUUCUUUCGGAUCUCGUAAUUGGAAUGAGUACAAUUUAAAUCUCUUAACGAGGAACAAUUGGAGGGCAAGUCUGGUGCCAGCAGCCGCGGUAAUUCCAGCUCCAAUAGCGUAUAUUAAAGUUGUUGCAGUUAAAAAGCUCGUAGUUGAAUUUCAGGCCUGGCUGGACGGUCCGCCCUUCGGGUGAGUACUGUCUGUGGUCGGGUCCUACCUUCUGGCGAAGCGUCAUGGCCUUAACGGGCGGGUGGGGGGGAACCAGGACUUUUACUGUGAAAAAAUUAGAGUGUUCAAAGCAGGCAAUCGCUUGGAUACAUUAGCAUGGAAUAAUGGAAUAGGACAAUGGUUCUAUUUGUUGGUUUCUAGGACCGUUGUAAUGAUUAAUAGGGAUAGUUGGGGGCAUUAGUAUUCAAUUGUCAGAGGUGAAAUUCUUGGAUUUAUUGAAGACUAACUACUGCGAAAGCAUUUGCCAAGGAUGUUUUCAUUAAUCAAGAACGAAAGUUAGGGGAUCGAAGACGAUCAGAUACCGUCGUAGUCUUACCAUAACUAUGCGACUAGAUCAGACGAUGUAUUUUUAUGACUCGUUUGCACCUUACG